AGAGACUCAACUGUUGAUGUACCAACAACAAGACUGGUGGAACAAAUAAAGCCAAAGGAGCGUAGCACACCUAUCAACAUUAUAACGUGAAAUUGAAAUCGUUUACCAUGACUGGCUCUGUGCAUCCAAUAAUAACAGAAAUCAACUGCAAUAGCUGAACAGUACCAGAAAGCUACAGAAUUCCAAGGUAAAUUAUAAUAUGCUUGGGGUUGGAGAUCACACUCGGUCUUCGGUACAAAAGUGUUGCCAACAAGAGAGAAAAGAACUGCAGUGACAAAAUAUAUC